AUACGGAGGGUGCAAGCGUUGUUCGGAAUCACUGGGCGUAAAGGGCGCGCAGGCGGUUUGGUAAGUCAGAUGUGAAAGCCCACGGCUCAACCGUGGAAGUGCAUUUGAAACUGCCAGACUUGAGUACCAGAGGGGAAAGUGGAAUUCACGGUGUAGAGGUGAAAUUCGUAGAUAUCGGGAGGAAUACCGGUGGCGAAGGCGACUUUCUGGCUGGAUACUGACGCUGAGGCGCGAAAGCGUGGGGAGCAAACAGGAUUAGAAACCCUAGUAGUCC
rnacentral:rRNA from 1 species